CACCCCACUCGGAAGUCCACCAAGGUUUAUGAAAAUCGAGAAAAAUUUUGUCGACGGUUCCAAAGCCUAGGCCCUAAAAUGUGUUUUGUUUAAGCAAUAAAGGGGUGAACAGCUUGUCAGCCCUAUAUUUCAGCACUCCCAACGAACAAGUAACGAGGACCAUGUCAGCAUAAUAAAUGUUAUCACUGCAGACGACUUGCACUUGACCGGAAUUCCAACGAAUGAGAUGCACUGGCGAAUUUAAUUGGAUGCGAUCCGAUAAGGCGAGCUUUAACCCGUUGCUUGACUUGGGGAUAUUUUUCUGGAAGGAAAGUCAGACGAUAUGUUAUCAGUAAAAAAAAACAAAAAACAAAAAAAACAGGUAAAUAAUAGAAAAAUAAAAACAUCAUAAUACCAUUAGAAUAUCGAAUAGAACAGAGUACCCGCGUUUCCACACCGUGGUGUAAUCUCCUGCGCAUUCGUGGUACUCUAGAGAACCCACUCCGGAUGUAUCAUUCCAGUUAUCAGAGCCGUCUUCGAUAUUCUGCGAUCGAUGGGCCCAGUCCAAAAGAUCUAGAGCAGUUGAACGAUUCAUGGGGGUGUGCCAGAUAAUUAUUCAACUUAGGAGAUAAGUGAAGUAAAUAAGUCCUUUACUUGAAUUCAAAAUAUUCGCCCAAGGAUUUAUCCCACUGGGCUAGCUCUUUCCUGGAGUCGUCGUAAAUGCUUUGCCAUCUCCACGUCAUCUGCAUAGCCAGUCGAUUCGAGAGUGUGAAUGUCCGUCCGUAUCUCUCCAGCAGCGGCAGCCAAUGGAUGAACGACAUUGCCUUCAUGUCCGUGAACCCAUUGGGCUCCCAAUUCAAUCAAGCUC